rnacentral:rRNA from 1 species
AACGUAGGGGGCGAGCGUUGUCCGGAAUUACUGGGCGUAAAGCGCGUGUAGGCGGGCUUAUAAGUCGGGUGUGAAAACUCUGGGCUCAACCCAGAGACUGCAUCCGAAACUGUAGGUCUUGAGGGCGGGAGAGGAAAGUGGAAUUCCUAGUGUAGCGGUGAAAUGCGUAGAUAUUAGGAGGAACACCAGUGGCGAAGGCGGCUUUCUGGCCCGAACCUGACGCUGAGACGCGAAAGCGUGGGGAG